ACACAAACCAAGAGUGGUUUUCAACUUAUGUCCAUUCCUUACAUUUUUAAAAAUUGUGUUAAAUUUUUUUCUCUUCGAGCUUUGCAUCUCCUUGAGCAGAAGUGCGGAAGUUCUCCAUGGGCCUUUUUAUAUACAGCAAUAGCCACUGACUUUAGCUUAAAGGCGUUUGUGGGUUCGUUUGUUUGUUUGUUUGUUUGUUUCUGUUUUAUGAUAUUGAGAAAAUGAGUUCCCUUAUUUCAUGAGGAUUAUGUAAGACACAAAUAAUAAAGGUUUGCACAGCUUUGUCUUAUCUGUUAGAGGUGGUUUUAACAAAUGCAUUAACAAAGCAGAUUCAUCAAGUUUCUUAACUUUCAACAUUAAUUUACUAUUAAAUCUUUUACAGGAUACAUAAAUCAUGUGUCUAUUUCAAAGUAUAUCAUGAUAAGUGGCUGAAGUGAAUUGAUACAGCGGUGCUUUUAUUAAUAUCUGCAAUUAAAUAUGGUUAGCAUUGUCUUGUUUACUUCCCCUAUUAACACAGUUAAUUAUAAAAUGACUAAUUGAAAAAUUUUACAUUAUUUCUGUUUAGUUAUAUGUAAAAACUGAUAUUGAUAUAACCUCUACUACCCUUUCUAUCCUAUAGUUUUUGAGAUAGGAUGGUUUCUGAAUUGAAAAAUUUUAAAGUACAAUAAACAUGACAUUUUUUUUCUUUUCGCCGUUCUAUAAAUCAUUUUUGUAAAUGUAGCUUUUAUUCAAUAGAUGUAAUUGUCAUCUCAGCAGCUUAGUGAUGAAUAAACUCACCCUUUAUAACUCUUUCUAAACUCUGGCUAGCUGGUUCAACUCAGCUAUUUCGGUCUAAAUUCUUCUCCUGGAUGAUUGAUUCAAGCUGCCUUCUCUCAACUUAUGACUGACUGGUUCUUCUUGGACUCAAACUAAAUCAUGCAAUCUGUUCUAAUGUUCUUGCCCCUUUUCAUUUUUUGGCUUAUUCUGUCCUCACCUCCUGCUACCUGUUUUCGCAAACCUGUCCUCGUAAAACUUUCUCCUCUAGCUCUCUCUCUCUCCCUUUCUCUCCUUCUCUCUGCACUGCUCUCUUAAAUCACUGCUCACCUUUCCUGUCCUAGUGAGAGAUGGGCAUAUACCAUCUCUUACUCAUUCUGUCAAAUCUUUCUCUAAUUCAUCACUUUGUCUGCCUCUAAAUUAGAUGUCACUUCAAACAUGGCUGCAUCCUUUUGCAAACUAACUUUACCUAUACUGUUUGUACUAAAAGUGUGUACUAAGACCAUGUCUGUGUUCCAGCCAGAGGGACUAAAGGUGUAUCACUCCAGCUGUAUCACAAAGACCUAAAAGGAUUUUGGUUAUGAUCCCAUGCCAGAGUAGCCAUGUACAAUUUGAAAAAUUUCCUCUUUUAUUGUAUAAUAAAAGCAUAUAAGACACUAACAUUGUUUCUCUUGUGGUUUGGUUUUAUCUUCAACCAAUAAGUUCUGGUGUGUAUCUGUCGUAUCAGUAACAGUUUUCAAAUAAAUAUCGUUUGCUGUUUGGUUUUAUGUUUGGCAUUAUAUUUACAAAGAGAACUAUCACUUGGUUUAUUGCAGCUGAUAUAUAGGUCUUUCAUAAUAGUUUCAGUUAAUUUAUAGCAUUACUGCAUAAUUGACUUUAAGAACAAGAAAUGAAAUCUGUCUUUGUUUAAUAAAGCUAAACAAAUUAUUGUAUCCUUGAAUUUUAGCAUAGAACGAAUUAUUUCAGAGUCACAAUUUCUAAUAAAUUACCCUUCUACCUCCUAAAACUGCAUAAUUUCUGAUUGCACAUUGUUUAUUGAUCUAUCAUAACUGAGGAUUGUAUUUGUUCUUUCUUUGCUUUUCUAUGUUUGUGCAUUGUUACCUUAUGAUCCCUAAAUUAUAACAUUGCAAAUAUUCGCAUGAGGAUUUGAGAGAUAGGUCAGUUAUUAUUAGAGCUUCAUGAUCUUUUAAGGAUUGGAGCAUGGUUCCCACCACUACAUCACUACUGCCUCACACUUUCCUAUAAUUCCAGCACUACAGUCUCUAAUGUACCCUUAUGGGGAUCUGUGGAGAUCUGUACACAAACUCAUCAACAUCCUUCCAGCAUCAAUAAACAUAACAAAGAAAUCCUCAUAAGAAUAUAAAUGUACCCCUUCUAAGCACUACAAAAUAGAAAUAAAUACAUCUUAUACUGAAAAAAUAUUGUUACCAAAGUUCUACAUAAUUUUAUAUUAAUUUUGUUAUUUUCCUUUCAAAAGUUCUAAACAUAUUUUAAUAUGUAGUAUAUGAUUAAUAUAUGUAUAUAUGUACAUAUGCACAUAAGAGGAGCUGAGUAUUCUAGAUCUUUGUCCAGAGAAAGCCAGGAGCAAACUUGGCAGGCAAGAAGGAGGAGCAUCUCAAAGCCAACCCCCAUAGUGACACACUUCCUACAACAAGACCACACCUACACCAACAAGGCCAUACUUCCUAAAAAUGACACUCCCUGGGCCAAGCAUAUUCCAACCACCACAGGAAGAUGAACCUCUAUUAAAUACUAAAAGUCUUGGAUUAAUAAGAUCAUAAACAAGGCACAAGUUCAUAUUUUAUAACUAAGUAUCUACAAUUUUUUUACAAAGUUACAUUUAUAUAAACUAUAGAUCUUUUUAACAUUAGAAAGAUAAACAGAAAUUGUUGUGUACUGGC
rnacentral:lncRNA from 1 species